GAGUUUGAUCCUGGCUCANGAUGAACGCUAGCGGCAGGCUUAACACAUGCAAGUCGAGGGGCAGCAUUACUGCUUGCAGUAGAUGGCGACCGGCGGACGGGUGCGUAACGCGUAUGCNACCUACCUUAUACAGGGAGAUAGCCCAGAGAAAUUUGGAUUAACAUCCCAUAAUAUCAUAAAGCAGCAUUGUUUAAUGAUUAAAGAUUUAUCGGUAUAAGAUGGGCAUGCGUAUGAUUAGCUAGUUGGUGAGGCAAUGGCUCACCAAGGCAACGAUCAUUAGGGGGCCUGAGAGGGUGAACCCCCACACUGGUACUGAGACACGGACCAGACUCCUACGGGAGGCAGCAGUGAGGAAUAUUGGGCAAUGGAGGCAACUCUGACCCAGCCAUGCCGCGUGUAGGAAGAAGGCGUUCUGCGUCGUAAACUACUUUUAUAUAGGAAUAAACCUCUCUACGUGUAGAGGGCUGAAUGUACUAUACGAAUAAGCACCGGCUAACUCCGUGCCAGCAGCCGCGGUAAUACGGAGGGUGCAAGCGUUAUCCGGAUUCAUUGGGUUUAAAGGGUCCGUAGGCGGCCUUAUAAGUCAGUGGUGAAAGCCUCCCGCUUAACGGGAGAACUGCCAUUGAAACUGUAAGGCUUGAAUCUAUUUGAAGUGGGCGGAAUACAUCAUGUAGCGGUGAAAUGCAUAGAUAUGAUGUAGAACACCGAUUGCGAAGGCAGCUCACUAAGUUAGCAUUGACGCUGAGGGACGAAAGCGUGGGGAGC
rnacentral:rRNA from 1 species